UCACAAUUUCUAGUUCUCUGAUUCACUGUAUGUAAGUGAACCUGUGUGUUUCAUGGGCAUACAAUCAGUGAAGUCAAAACAUCAGCCAAAUAGCAAUGCUAAUUCAGGGUAACAGUUUGAGUCAUGGUGUAUAAUAUGAACAAGUCAUAUGGUGAUUUUAAUUUCCUUAACCUCUGACGGGAGUAGUUACUGCCCACUCAAAAAUGUGUGUGUGUGUGUGUGUGUGUGUGUAGCAUGCUUGCUCCACUGGGUCCCAAUGACGUGUGUGUCCCAGCCACCCUGCCCCUGGCCUAACUUUAUUUACACCCUCUGCCAGGGCAUUCAGAUUCAGGUUAUUCUGGUUUCAUACUAGAGCAGGACAUGAGUCACCCCGCCUUCUUACAGAUAGAUAAUGAUCCCCACCUGAUAGAAUCUAGACUAAAACACUACUUAGCACCUAUUCUUGUUCCACAGCCACUUGUCUUUGACACAAUAGUGUUACAAGAUUUGCAAGCAACGCUGGACAACACCUGUGAUGUUCGUGUACACAAUGUAAAUUAACAAGCCCCAGGUAAAAAAAAUCAAAAUAAAUGAGUUGGUGAAUAUGUUAACCUUUUUCAGUGGGCGUAUGUCACACUUUGAAUACCAACAUGUUACACUUCCAUAGUAAAUGUCACCAAAUGAUAUUGCUGAUGUAAUAUGUUUGUGAAUAAUGUUAUUCUAUCUUAGGUAAUGACACCUGUCUCACUCUGACUGCAUAUACCAGUGCCUUGCAGUGGGAAACAGUACUAGGUGUGGUGUACCUGUUAUUAGAAAUGGGGAGGACCAUAGAGAUAAGAUAGUUAAGAGAGAUAAGAAUGCACCUGAUACAUGUGACACACAAUACAACAAAAACAUCACUGCAAUAAACAGGUUAAAGCACAUUUCAUGUCCCAGAGAUCCGUGACCCUCUGACUUGACAAAAUGGGACUCUCAGGGGAAAAGGAGAUUAGAAUGAAGCUGCGUUCUUGAUUCACCUAACACUGUGCCUGAUGAAAAAUGUAUAAGUGUCAAUAUCAGACAUCACCCCAGUGGCUUGAAAUGGAACCUUGUUGGAGGUGAUACAUUACCCUAUUUUGUCAUUAACAGCUGUCAGCUCCGAAACUAAAGAUAGACCAAAUAAACAAUAAAAUGGGUAACCAGUCUGAGGCUACAAACACUUUGGGUCGUUGAAAAGAGCUAGCUAUAUUAUAGAUAAUUAGCAAUUAUCACUAAUGUGUCCUACUGUAGGCUUACAAUGUCUCAUAAAACCUUUAUUAAAACGUAACAGUAGGUGGAUCCAUCAAGUUCAACAUUUUACAGAAAUGCUAUCAGUAGCAAAGCAUAUAAAACAAGCAAAAAUAAAUGUCAUUACAUUAUACAUUUCUGGUUUGUUCAAAGAAAUGUGGUAGAUUAAUUGAAAAAAUUAUAAAAGUAAAAAAUUGUAAAAUAAAAAAAUGGGACCUUAAUUUUUGCAACUGUAAUAAUUGACUUUAUAGCCCAUCAUUACUUUUUAAUUCUAGGUUUGCUUUCAUAUGGUUAGUCCUCCGAGAGGGAUCUGGUUCUGCAUCCCAAUUCUCUACUCGUCUACUCUAAGUGUGCAUAUGUUCACUUCCCUUCAUGGAUUUAAAAAGAAAGGACAUGUAGGCCUAUGAUGGCAAUUCCCUCUAGUCUAAACCAUGCUUAAACCAAUACUUUGCUUUUGAGUAUGUAGGGGGGAGUGCACACUUUAGGAGAAUGAUAGGGAAUUGGGAUGCAGAGCAAAUAGAUUUCUUCUUUACGUCAGGGUAUACGCCUUGCAGUACAUUACACCACAGCCCUCCUUGGUUUCAAAUCGUAGAUUUUAGACCUUCCCCUCUGACUGAG
rnacentral:lncRNA from 1 species